AAGAUUUAAAGUAAAUCAAGAAAGACGCGAAGGGUUCAUCCAUAUUGAGGUUGAUUUCAGCGAACCCAACAAGAAUCUGAUUUUCCAGUCAAAAACAUACAAAUGACAUGCAGUUGCCUGUAAUUUUGAAGCUUUCAGGAGCUGGCUGCCUGUUGAACUUAUCUAGAGGACUCGACACCAUAAAAGAUUUUGAGGUCCUUGGUGGUCUCAUGCCAAAUAUAUAUUGUCAGAGCAAAUCUUGCAAAAAAGGCUCCUGAUGUUAAUUUCAGCCACUGGAAGCCUCUUUUCCAUAGACUCUGGCUGCUGUUGCUGUUGCUGUAUCUGCUGCUGGUGACACUUAGUCGAUGAAGUUAUGCCCUCACAACCGCAGAAGUCGUAAACAACUCAUAAGUGGAUAAGGGAAGGGCUCUUAGGUAGCAUGGACCACAGGUCAUGCAUACAUCUGCAGAUUCUUACAGAAAGAUUCUUGGGUAAGCAUGACUCUUGGACAUGAUGAGGAUUAAUAAUUGGACAUGCUUGCGUCGGCCCUCAAUUGCACUUGAGCUACUUAGCAUAAGGUUUGUCUUAAAGCCAUUCUUUAUCAGCAAAUGUAGAGUUGA